rnacentral:rRNA from 1 species
UACGGAGGGAGCUAGCGUUGUUCGGAAUUACUGGGCGUAAAGCGCACGUAGGCGGCUUUGUAAGUUAGAGGUGAAAGCCCGGGGCUCAACUCCGGAACUGCCUUUAAGACUGCAUCGCUUGAAUCCAGGAGAGGUGAGUGGAAUUCCGAGUGUAGAGGUGAAAAUUCGUAGAUAUUCGGAAGAACACCAGUGGCGAAGGCGGCUCAUCUGGACUGGUAUUGACGCUGAGGUGGCGAAAAGCGUGGGGAGCAAACAGG